rnacentral:tRNA from 1 species
GCCCAGGUGGCGGAAUUGGUAGACGCGCUAGCUUCAGGUGCUAGUGUCGUACGGCGUGGAGGUUCAAGUCCUCUCCUGGGCA